GACGAAGGGGGCUAGCGUUGUUCGGAAUUACUGGGCGUAAAGCGAGUGUAGGUGGUUGUCCAAGUUGGAUGUGAAAGCCUUGAGCUCAACUCAAGAAAUGCAUUCAGGACUGGGCGGCUAGAGGACCGGAGAGGAUAGUGGAAUUCCCAGUGUAGUGGUGAAAUACGUAGAGAUUGGGAAGAACACCAGUGGCGAAGGCGGCUAUCUGGACGGUGACUGACGCUGAGACGCGAAAGCGUGGGGAGCAAACAGG
rnacentral:rRNA from 1 species